rnacentral:ncRNA from 2 species
AAAGUUCUUUGGGGCAAGGUGAAAUUCCUUACCGAUGGUGACAGUCCAUGAACGCUUUUCAAAGCGCCGAGCGGGUGGAACUCCCGCACCGACGGUAAAGUCCGGAUGGGAAAAGGCUUUU